CAGCGUAAAUCUCGUUAUUUUUCUCCUUACCUCUUUCUUCAGUUUUAGCAAUUAAUCUAUCAACUCUUCAUCCAAAAUCGCCUGUGUUAUUUUCAAUCUCUAUAAUUCGUUCAAUCGUCUGCGAUAUUUUCAUUCAAUUUUUUUCAAUUUUGGUAGAUAUUGAAUCUUUGCGAUUCUUCCUGCAAUCUUCAAUAGUCAUUCAAUCCAUGAAGAAUAAUGUUCCCGCUGACGUCCAUUUCACUACAGACGGUAUGUGCUGGGUCAAGUAGAUGCUGCAAACUGACCGAGCAGAUGCAGAAUGAGCAGAAAAGGAGUAAAAAUGUCAAAAAUCUAUUAUGUCAAGGAGAAUUAUCAGGAGAGCAUGCAGUGCAAGGAAAAAGACAAAAGAUAGAGAAUUCGAAGACACCCUUAUUUUAAGGGUACAAACGUCAAAUCAUGAAGAACAUAACCUAUGGAUUUGAGCUUGAAGCCUCCCUAUAUAAAGGGACCAACAUGAAUGAAGAAGGCAGCGCUUAACGCUAUCGUAGUUUAGGUAGGAAGCUCUCAGAGGCACUUAACGCCGCCGCUAUCUUAGCUUAGUUUAGAUAGUUAACUGCUUUCUUAGCUUAGUUGGAUGGUUUCGACGGGGGAAUUGACGACUCCGACGUUGAAUCCUUGCUUUCUUUACCGCUUUUUAGACGCUGUAGUUAUAUCUCGAGUUUCAUCGGAGGAAUUGACGACUCCGCCGUUGGAUCUCGACUUAUUUCCAGUUUUAUGAAGCUUUGGUGUUUAUUUUCA